rnacentral:rRNA from 1 species
AAUGGGGGCAACCCUGACGCAGCAACGCCGCGUGAGUGAUGAAGGCCUUUUGGUUGUAAAGCUCUGUCGCCUGGAAAGAAAUGGAUUGUCGCUAAUAUCGGCGGUCUUUGACGGUACCAGGAAAGGAAGCACCGGCUAACUCCGUGCCAGCAGCCGCGGUAAUACGGGGGGUGCAAGCGUUAUUCGGAAUCAUUGGGUGUAAAGCGCAUGUAGGCGGUUUAGUGUGUCAGAUGUGAAAGCCCGGGGCUUAACCCCGGAAGUGCAUUUGAAACUGCUAAGCUUGAGUCUCGGAGAGGAAAGUGGAAUUCCCAGUGUAGAGGUGGAAUUCGUAGAUAUUGGGAGGAACACCGGUGGCGAAAGCGACUUUCUGGACGAUGACUGACGCUCAGAUGCGAAAGCGUGGGUAGCAAA